rnacentral:rRNA from 1 species
GUGGGGAAUAUUGCACAAUGGGGGAAACCCUGAUGCAGCAACGCCGCGUGGAGGACGACGGUUUUCGGAUUGUAAACUCCUUUUCUUUGUGAAGAAUUCUGACGGUAGCAAAGGAAUAAGCAUCGGCUAACUACGUGCCAGCAGCCGCGGUAAUACGUAGGAUGCAAGCGUUAUCCGGAUUUACUGGGUGUAAAGGGAGCGCAGGCGGGACAUCAAGUUGGAUGUGAAAUGUCAAGGCUUAACCAUGGCACUGCAUCCAAAACUGUAGUUCUUGAGUGGAGUAGAGGUAAGCGGAAUUCCGAGUGUAGCGGUGAAAUGCGUAGAUAUUCGGAGGAACACCAGUGGCGAAGGCGGCUUACUGGGCUCUAACUGACGCUGAGGCUCGAAAGUGUGGGGAGCAAACAGGAUUAGAAACCCGAGUAGUCC